rnacentral:lncRNA from 1 species
UUUGGAAGAAUUGCCUGUGGGAGUUAUUGACGAAAAUGUCAUCGGUAAUUCAGCAAGUGAAGGGUUAGAUUCUGAUGCACAUGCAAUGACGGUGCUACCGGUGGGAGUGCUCGAUGAAGACAUGACUACAUCUGACGAGACUAAUACCUCAGAUAUGGAAGCAAUGAAGGAGUUACCGGUGGGAGUACUCAAUGAAUACGCGGCUAAAUCUGAANNNNNNNNNCUGAUAUGCAUGCAAUGGAGGUGCUACCGGUGGGUGUGCUCGACGAAGACGCGGCUAAAUCUGAAGAGACUAAUACCUCUGAUAUGCAUGCAAUGGAGGUGCUACCGGUGGGUGUGCUUGACGAAGAUGCUGAUAUGGGCGCUAAUAUGGAUGCAAUGAAGAUGCUACCAGUGGGAGUGCUGGAUGAAGACGGGGGUAAAUCAGAAGAGAUUAAUACUGCUGAUAUGNN